rnacentral:lncRNA from 1 species
AAAUUGUAUAUAACAAUUAAAAUUAAUAGAAAGUUAUAUCAUCAUUCUUUUUUUCCCCCAUAGACAGCAUAAUGAAGAGACUGAAGGGACCUCAUCCCUUUAGGCAUCUUGGGUGGAGAACUCAAGCUGAAGCUACUUCAGAAGCUAUUCUCUCUUCCAGAGACUCAAGAGUGCUGCGUGACUGUGAUAUCCCUGGAAGCUACUUUAGUAUAGGGAGAAAUUGGCAUUGGUUCUUUGGAUAUGGAAGAAACCGUGUCAGGGAAAUACGAGACCUCCAACAGAAAAAUUUGGUGGAAAAGAGUUUUCCUCUACACAAUCAAUCAGCCUUGGUUCUCAAGCAGCCAAAGAGAAAUGAAGGUCAACUUUCUUCAGUAUUUCUUCACUAUUACAUUAAGAGAACAUGGCAUAGUAUAUAGAGUCAACCUCUGAACCAAGAAGACCCAAAGAAAAUUCUCUGCUUUGACAGGAAAGAAG